GGAAAGGUAACAGUCAUUUUUCAUUGACAGCUUGUUCUGUGCAACAUGAUCUACAUGCUGUUCAAUGUCCUUGUAAUCGCAAACCAGGAAAAAGGUCUUGCUGUAUUUGGUUUUCUGGUGAGGAAGUAGGGCAUUCUUGGACUUCGAGGUUGCUCUUUUUUUUAUUCAAAUGUAAAGUAGAUUCACAGGUAGAUGAUUGUCCAAGCAUCAUUGUUGGUUUCUGGGCUUCAUUAACAGCUUUGCAACUAUUGAUUCUGAAGGAAGGACAUAUUUGUCUAAGUGGUUUAGCAAUGCAAGUUUAGGAAUUGAUGCACCAAUGACUUUUUCACCAUCAUCACCAAAUACCACAAAUGUUG